UAACAACAAGUUUUCUUUACAAUAUUAUAAUACAUCUUUAAAAUUACCGCUCAAAUGCAUUAGCGGUUGGUAUUUCGCCUUGUUGCUGUCAAUUUUGACUUCAAGGUCACUGUCUUUUACGGGAUGGUUCGUUGUUCUUAGAAAUGCCCAUUUUGCCGAGUGAAUUUGAAUAGUGUAGAAGCUUUUGUGGUAACUUUUAAUACUUUUUUAUUAAUUUGCAACUUUAAACUUUUACAAUCAUUUUAAUAAUGUUACCCAAAGUCAAAAUCAAACUAAAUUAAUAUGCUUUUGUUGGAAGGUUGAUCUUGGUGAUCUUACUAGUUCUCGGCGAAUACAAGUUUUUUACAUAAAAUUUUUUUUAUACAUGUAUGAUAACCACAUACUUCUUUUGCUGUUCUAAGUCUUUGUUAAAUUGUAAACUGUACUUAGUAUUAUUGAUUGUUUCUACACCUAACGAUUCAAUGGUUCAUUGUUUCAAGCUUUUGUUACUUUUUAUACCUUUGACUGCUACAUGUCUUUUUGAGAUGAACUGAUGAUGCUCUUUGAUCAGAGAGCGAAACGUCUUCGAAUAAAUAGAUGAAGUAGCCACCUUCUUUGUCUUAUUUCUCCACCUAUUGACCGAAAAA
rnacentral:lncRNA from 1 species